AUACAAUGUAUAUAUCAUGUUUGAUUGAGAUGCAAUGCAUUCAAAGUGGUUUAGCUUUGUUUCAAUAUACCACACCGGGUAUCCCGAUCCGUAACUCGUGGAGGUAUCGGAAAUACUAAGGAAAAAUUACACUCUGUUAAAUUCGUAAUUGUGGUUUCGUGUAAUAAUGUAGUUCUGGUUUUUUUUGCAUCUCUGUGUAUGUUUUGUCACAUAUGUAUUUAUUGGCAAAAU
rnacentral:lncRNA from 1 species